rnacentral:lncRNA from 1 species
GCCUUAAGUUUAUUACAAUAAAGGUAAGGAAAAAAAAAAAAACUGAAACUUGCGUUAUUUAUUUUUUCAACACACUCCAAGUGAAACGACAUCAUUUCACUAUAAGAUUAUUUUUAAAACACUGCAAUCAAAACAACGUUGUUUCAUUACAAACCUUAAAAAAAAAAAAAAAAAGCAAGUCGUCUUCCUCACAGAAAAUUUGCAGACUCUCAAAUUUCUUUCAGUUCAGAAGUUUCCAGAUCUGGUAUGCCUUGCAACCCCUCGCUUCGCCAGGCCCCGCCUUGCAACGCCUUCUCACGCCUUCCCAGUGCUAAACGUGCAACUCACGAAACAGUCCACCGACUCGGGCGUUUUCCUCUCGCCUCGUGCCGACACACGCGAAGGCAUGCCUUUGAAAACACUGCCUGGAAAUGCAAAGUGACCUGGGGCUAGGUUUUUAAUUGCUUCACUUCUAAAUGAUCAUGAAAAUAAUUAAAGACAUAUAUAUAUAUAUAUAUAUUUAUAAAUGUAUUGUGACCCUAUCAAGAGGAUUAAUUGUCUCAGUGACAACUCCACUCUUUCUAAUUUGAGUGAGCUACAUUUUUUCUGAAUGAGACGAAUUCCAUUAAAUAAGAUGAACUUCCUAAAAUUAACACUAAAUUCCGUUUUUCUAGAUAAUUG